rnacentral:rRNA from 1 species
CCUACGGGAGGCAGCAGUGGGGAAUAUUGCACAAUGGGGGAAACCCUGAUGCAGCCAUGCCGCGUGUGUGAAGAAGGCCUUCGGGUUGUAAAGCACUUUCAGUAGGGAGGAAAGGUUGUAAGUUAAUACCUUGCAGCUGUGACGUUACCUACAGAAGAAGGACCGGCUAACUCCGUGCCAGCAGCCGCGGUAAU